UACGGAGGGGGCUAGCGUUGCUCGGAAUCACUGGGCGUAAAGCGCACGUAGGCGGCUUUCUAAGUCAGAGGUGAAAUCCUGGAGCUCAACUCCAGAACUGCCUUUGAUACUGGAGAGCUUGAGUUCGGGAGAGGUGAGUGGAACUGCGAGUGUAGAGGUGAAAUUCGUAGAUAUUCGCAAGAACACCAGUGGCGAAGGCGGCUCACUGGCCCGAUACUGACGCUGAGGUGCGAAAGCGUGGGGAGCAAACAGG
rnacentral:rRNA from 1 species